rnacentral:tRNA from 1 species
CAGGGAAUAUAUCAAUAGGCGGAUUGUCUGCUUUGGGAGUAGGAGGUUGUGAGUUCGAGUCUCAUUUCCUUGA